UCGGAUAUAGUGUACGGUACACGGCCUCCCCACAUGAGCUGUUGGUAGACAAAUAUUGUUCAAGGCAGUCCGGGGUUCGACUCCCCGUAUCCGAA